rnacentral:rRNA from 1 species
UACAGAGGGGGCAAGCGUUAAUCGGAAUUACUGGGCGUAAAGCGUGCGUAGGCGGCAAUGUAAGACAGAUGUGAAAUCCCUGGGCUUAACCUAGGAACUGCAUUUGUGACUGCAUUGCUAGAGUGUGGUAGAGGGAGAUGGAAUUCCGCAUGUAGCAGUGAAAUGCGUAGAUAUGCGGAGGAACACCAAUGGCGAAGGCAAUCUCCUGGACCUGCACUGACGCUCAUGCACGAAAGCGUGGGGAGCAAACAGG